UACGUAGGCAGCGAGCGUUGUUCGGAGUUACUGGGCGUAAAGCGUGCGUAGGCGGUUUUGUAAGUUUGGUGUGAAAUCUCCCGGCUCAACUGGGAGGGUGCGCCGAAAACUGCAAGGCUGGAGUAUGGGAGAGGUAGGCGGAAUUCCUGGUGUAGCGGUGAAAUGCGUAGAUAUCAUGAGGAAUACCAGAGGCGAAGGCGACCAUCUGGACGGAUACUGACGCUGAGACGCGAAAGCGUGGGUAGCAAACAGG
rnacentral:rRNA from 1 species